rnacentral:rRNA from 1 species
UACGUAGGGCGCAAGCGUUGUCCGGAAUUACUGGGCGUAAAGGGCGCGUAGGCGGCCUUGUAAGUCCUGUGUGAAAUCCCCCGGCUCAACUGGGGAACUGCACAGGAGACUGCUUGGCUUGAGUUCGGGAGAGGGAAGCGGAAUUCCGGGUGUAGCGGUGAAAUGCGUAGAUAUCCGGAGGAACACCGGUGGCGAAGGCGGCUUCCUGGACCGACACUGACGCUGAGGCGCGAAAGCGUGGGGAGCGAACAGG